GACGAACGCUGGCGGCGUGCUUAACACAUGCAAGUCGAGCGGUAAGGCCCUUUCGGGGGUACACGAGCGGCGAACGGGUGAGUAACACGUGGGUGACCUGCCCUCAGCUCUGGGAUAAGCCUGGGAAACUGGGUCUAAUACUGGAUAUGACUCCACGGUGCAUGUCGUGGGGUGGAAAGCCUUGUGCGGCUGAGGAUGGGCCCGCGGCCUAUCAGCUUGUUGGCGGGGUGAGGCCUACCAAGGCGACGACGGGUAGCCGGCCUGAGAGGGCGACCGGCCACACUGGGACUGAGACACGGCCCAGACUCCUACGGGAGGCAGCAGUGGGGAAUCUUGCGCAAUGGGCGAAAGCCUGACGCAGCGACGCCGCGUGAGGGAUGACGGCCUCGGUGUAA
rnacentral:rRNA from 1 species